rnacentral:lncRNA from 1 species
UUAAAACUUGCAAUGUGGGUUUAAAACUCAAGAAAGAUGGAGGAGAUCUAGUGAAAGAACACAAGAUUUGAGGAGAGGGAGAUCGGAAGCUUGUUGUGGCCGAAAAUGGGAGAAAACCUCGCCCAUUUCGGCUAAGGGUCCCUUUUAUAGUGGCUGGCCAGGCCACGUUCGGGGGCCGAAGGUGCCUCCGCAUGCAUGCAAGGUUCGGCGGCCGAACAUGAGGUUCGGCGGCCGAAC